GGUGAGAUGGCCGAGUUGGUCUAAGGCGCCAGGUUAAGGUUAUUUAUUAACCGCUUCAAAACGGUUAAUUCCAAUCUCCUGGUCUGGAAACAGGCGUGGGUUCAAAUCCCACUCUCAUCA
rnacentral:tRNA from 1 species